CGCUACCGUGGUUUAAAGGAGGAAACGUAUACCAAAUGCAAAGUAAUUUAGUAAGCAGUCAACGUUACAUAUUCUUUUUAUUUUUGUUUAUACAAAAUUUUUAAGGUACUAUGAAAACGAGAAAAUUAAAGUAAAAGAGUUGCAAGUAGUUAGCUUCGAUACAAACUUUAGAAAGCAACAUGUCGUUGCAUUUAAAAUUCAUUUAACAAUGGAUCUCGAAUCAAAUCUUACAUAGAGUGAUAAAGAAUAUGAAAGUCGAAGCCCAUUUGAUAAUACUACUAUGAUUGCUUAUUUGUUUGAUUUUAUUUGGAAUCCUCUAAAUUAGAUGAAAAAACUAACAGAAAAGAUGGAUAAGACCCAGUUGUCCUUUGAAUAAAAGUAUCUUAUCUCAAAGUUUAAAAAAGACGAAAUAUUCGGUAUUUAAAAGGAGUAAUCUGAUGUACAAAAUAUUCCGCCCUUCAUACAGGGUCCUUGAAAGAGGCACAUCACAGAAGGUGUGAUGUAGGCAAUAUCGGAGGCAGGAUCUCCGCGAAAGGAGUUCAAAAAGAAUUUAUUUUAAAAAAAAUUAUAGCUAGUGCAAAUGGAACUUAUGAUCUUACAAAGAUUUUGAACUCCCUUGACCACUAAGUUACAAUUUUGGGCUAUGUCAGAGGGAGUCAAAAUUCAAAACUUAGUAUAUAGAGGUAAAAAAUAAAUUUUGUCAUAUAUACACAGUGUAACUUUUCGGCGAAGAGAGUCGGGUGAAUCCCCAUGCGCCCCCUCUAAAUCCGCCCCUGGAUGUAGGGGGCCAACUCUGAUGCAAAUAUUAGUGGAUGAUUUCAAUGCUCGAACUUGUGACCUAUAGGUCACGUGAAGAUAAUAUAUAUAUAUAUAUAUAUAUAUAUAUAUAUAUUAUCCAUUUGAUUGCCUAGCUAGACUAGGCAGACUACACAUCUUGCAGUUUGUGGGAUAGCAAAUUGCAAACAUUUUUUUUUCUUCAAUUAUAUAGACUUUGAG
rnacentral:lncRNA from 1 species